rnacentral:rRNA from 1 species
UACGUAGGGGGCGAGCGUUGUCCGGAAUCAUUGGGCGUAAAGCGCGUGUAGGCGGCUCGAUAAGUCCGGUGUGAAACCUUGGGGCUCAACCCCAAGCCUGCACUGGAUACUGCCGAGCUAGAGUCCGGGAGGGGAGAGCGGAUCUAGUGUAGCGGUGAAAUGCGCAGAUAUUAGGAAGAACACCGGUGGCGAAGGCGGCUCUCUGGAACGGUACUG